UUAAAAAGCUCGUAGUUGGAUUUCGGAGUGGGCCAGUUGGUCCGCCGCAAGGUGUGUUACUGACUGGUUUGCUCUUCUUCGCAAAGACUGCGUGUGCUCUUUGUUGAGUGUGCGUAGGAUUUACGACGUUUACUUUGAAAAAAUUAGAGUGUUCAAAGCAGGCUAUUGCUUGAAUACAUGAGCAUGGAAUAAUGGAAUAGGACUUUGGUCCCAUUUUGUUGGUUUCUAGGACCGAAGUAAUGAUUAAGAGGGACAAUUGGGGGCAUCCGUAUUUCGUUGUCAGAGGUGAAAUUCUUGGAUUUACGAAAGACGAACAACUUCGAAAGCACUUGCCAAGAGUGUUUUCAUUAAUCAAGAACGAAAGUUAGAGGAUCGAAGACGAUCAGAUACCGUCCUAGUUCUAACCAUAAACGAUGUCGACUAGGGAUCAGCGGGCGUUAUCGUACGACCCCGUUGGCACCUUACGGGAAACCAAAGUUUCUGGAUUCCGGGGGAAGUAUAGUCGCAA
rnacentral:rRNA from 1 species